AAGAUUUUAAGUUAAUUUAAACUAUUUAUUUUCAAAAUAAAAAAUAUAUAUAAUUUUAAAUCUUU